AUUGAACGCUGGCGGCAUGCUUUACACAUGCGAGUCGAACGGCAGCGCGGGCUUCGGCCUGGCGGCGAGUGGCGAACGGGUGAGUAAUGCAUCGGAACGUGCCCAGUAGUGGGGGAUAGCCCGGCGAAAGCCGGAUUAAUACCGCAUACGACCUGAGGGUGAAAGCGGGGGACCGAAAGGCCUCGCGCUAUUGGAGCGGCCGAUGUCGGAUUGGCUAGUUGGUGGGGUAAAGGCUUACCAAGGCGACGAUCCGUAGCUGGUCUGAGAGGACGACCAGCCACACUGGGACUGAGACACGGCCCAGACUCCUACGGGAGGCAGCAGUGGGGAAUUUUGGACAAUGGGGGCAACCCUGAUCCAGCCAUGCCGCGUGCGGGAAGAAGGCCUUCGGGUUGUAAACCGCUUUUGUUCGGGAAGAAAUCCUCUGGGCUAAUACCCCGGGGGGAUGACGGUACCGGAAGAAUAAGCACCGGCUAACUACGUG
rnacentral:rRNA from 1 species